UGUCCCACCUGGCAGGGGAAAUACCAUGAUCACGAAGGUGGUUUUCCCAGGGCGAGGUUUAUCCAUUGCAUUCUGGUUGUGCUGACCCCUGCAAUUUCCCCAAAUGUGGAAAACUUGACUGCAUCAUUUCUAGUAGUGAGGGACUGCAUUCGCGCUUUCCCCUU